rnacentral:RNase_P_RNA from 1 species
GCGGAUGGCCGGAUGACCGCGUGUCCCGGAUCUUGUCCGGGACGCGAGGAAAGUCCGGACUCCAUGAAGAAAGGGCGCCGGGUAAUGCCCGGCCGGGGUAACCCGAGGGAAAGCGCCACAGAGAACAGACUACCUUCGCCUUGUCGGCGCGGGAAAAGGUGAAAAGGUGGGGUAAGAGCCCACCGGGGCACUGGCAACAGCGCCCGCAUGGCAAGCCCCGCCCGGAGCAAUGCCAAAUAGGGGUCCCGCGGCGCUUGCGCCACGGUUUCUUCAGCCCAGGGGCCCGGGUCGGCAGCUAGACCCCGCUGGUAACAGCGGGGGCAGAUGAAUGGUCAUCGAACCCCGGAUCACGGUCCGGGGGGAACAGAAUCCGGCUUACAGGCCAUCCGCGCAU